UAGGUCUCUCUUUCUUUUUUCUUUUCCAGUCUCAGUGUUCCAGUGUGCCAUACUAUAUCCCCCUCCUUUCUUUUAAUAUAUAUAUAUAUAGUAGUCCUAUCCAAACGAAGUGGGUGUAAAGAGCGGAUAAUAAAAAAGAGUGGAAGAGAGAGAGAGAGAGAGAAAAGAGAGUAAAGCCCACAGUCUUGUCUGUGUUGGCCAGUUGUUGCAGUGGAGUCGACCGGGCUGGUCGCACGUUCUUAACAAAACAAAAAAAAAACACGGCCGUGUUUGUGCUAUAACAAACACAAGUGUGCGUCUACGUCUGCCGUAAGCGUGUGCGGGGCAAAACCAAAACAAAUAAGGCAAAAGAAAAUGUCCUCACCUUUGAGUUUGUGUUGAAUCAAAACAGAAGAAAAGACGAAACGAAAAUGCCGUUCGUGUUGCGGCAAGUGACACCGGUGCGUCUGAGUCGAUUGCCGACGGCCGACCACCAACAAGACCGGACCAAGGUAAUGAGAGUAGCAGACGACGACGACGACGCGCGUCAGUGCAUCAGCAAUCACACGCUGUCUGCUUGUCUGAGGCAGUUGGCCUCGUUGGUUUCACUGGCGUCCGACAUCUUCACCCAGUGUCACGACCAGGCCAACGAUUUGCAUCGACGCACCGUUCAAUUGCGCCAACGACUCGACCGGCUGCAAACCAACGCCGACCAACGUCUCGAUUCCCGAGCUGUUCCAAUCCCCGAAGGCGAUUUGGCAGCGUUCAGUCACGAUCACAAGACCAAUCAUUUCACAAGUGGCAGCCCGGCAGCUGCUACUGGGACAGCGACUCAAGUGCCGGAACUGAAUUUAGUGACGCCAUCCAACCGUCCCAACGCUCUGGCCGUCCUGUACGACAAAGCCGCAGCGCUGGACGUUUCGCCGGCUGUCAACCGGCCCGAGAGUUUAGUGCUGCUAAUGGCCAACGGCGGCAAAGGCAUCAGCUAUUUAGACGCGGCCGAUUACGGCCGCCUGAUGGAGCUGGGCGCGACGCUGCGCCGCUCGCGUCGCAAACAUCGAACCAACGUCCUGGAGAUUGAAACGCGCCGACCGGCCAGUUUGGCUCACAUGAGGCAAUGGCUCACCGAUGAUGAGGGCGUCCUCGACGAUCUAUCAGCCCCCGUCGGGCCUGACAACCGACGUCACAUCGAUAACCAUCACACAGAUUGCGCCCUACCACACAGAUUGCCAUCGCCCGAGGAAAAGGCCAAAGCGGCUGCUUCGCAAGUGUUUCCGGCCGAGGUGGUGCGGCUGGACGUGACGGGCUCGGGUUUCGAGCGCAUGACCCAAUUCCGGCGCUCGUUGCAGCAUUUCGAGUACGUUGACGCGUCGGCUGGCGGGGGACAUGCAAACGAAGCGCAACGGGCCGCAAAGAGCCGCAAACGCAGCAAGAAAAAGUCGACCAAGAAACGACGCAACACGAUCGCCUGCGACGGCGACCGCGCACGACAUCCAACACGCCCUCAGGGUCAAUACUUCCACGCUCAGCAGGUUUUCAUAA